GUGCGAAAGGAUUUUGGCCAAUCCUCUCCUCGCGCGCGGCAUGCUUCCAGUCGUGGAACCCUAGACCCCUUUCCCCAAUCCCACGGCCGCCUCCAUCCUCCCGUGCUCCACCCCGAGCGGGCUCCGCCUCCUCCUCCUCCUCCACCAUCCCUUCUCCUGUCGCAGCCGCAUUGGGGAGGCCAGGUUUUCUCGCUGGGGGGGAGGAGCUGUGGACGGCCAGCAGGCCAGCGGCGGGAGGCAGCCAGGCCGGCCUGCCGUCUCUCCCCCGGAACUGGCCAGCGGCCGAAUUUCUGGCUGGGAUGAGGAGUUUGUCCUCCCUGCAAUGCUCGUCAUCGAGGACAGCCUGGUCUGCAAAUCGCGGCCCUCCUAUGCCGGGCUACACGACGGGUCUUACCGAACAGCGCUGGCCAGCAGCAGGUGCUAACCUUCGGUUUACCACUUGUCGCUUUGGUCUGACAGGAUGCUAGCAGUUGUAGUUCUGCUCAUUUGGAGGACACAUAUGGCAAACUGUGACAUCAUGAUAGCAGUUGCUCAGAGUGAUUGUUCCCAAUUAUUCUACAUUUUAAUUGUAUCGACUGGGCGACAGCGAGCGCCGGUGAGUGCAAGCAUGUGUCUCUAGAAGCGUCCUCUCCUACAAGGCAGGCAAGGACGACGUCAUCGCCCUCAUAGGUCCUCCUCCCAUCCCUUUUGCUCCCCCUGCCUCCUCACCUUGCCUUUGAGUCGGAUGCAAUGUAAGAUAGCCCGCAGGCAAGCUCAAGCUGGAGGCGAUGAAAUCCCUCUCUUGUGCCAGAAUCUAACUUCUUAUUUGUGCAGUGUUCUUUUGCUUCUAUGUACUGUUUUUGCUCUGACCAGAUCGUUCCCAUUUGUUUGGAGGUUCUACGAUCUGUUGCAUCUCUGUUCUUCUCGUUAAGGUUAGCUGCUCUAUUUCCUAGGUACACGUGUAUUAUCGUUUAUGUCGGUGCUAUCAUGGUGCUUGGUCUGCUGAUCAUUUUAAUGUUCUGGAUCUGGGGUGUGGCUGCAAGAGAGGGGAGGCAGCCAAUGACAGGGAGAAGGAGCAGGACGUCGAGGAGUGCAAGUAGAAGGCAAACACAUCGAGACAUUGGAAGAAAUAGACGUGUUGUACAAGGAGUGGGCUUUACAGUCUGGUAUUAAGCACCGGGUAGGAGUUCCUUCUUUUGGUGGUGAGCUCAUGUUCAUUUCAGAUCCGGUGGAUAUUACGGAAAUCCUGCCUUAUGUUUGCACAAUUGGCAGUUUCCAACCUUAGAGGCUCGGCAGGUUGGUUGGAUCUGUUGUAUGAGGUAGGCUUCAGGCCAACGGAAGAUGAUUUACCGGAUGACUGCCACCACAGUUUUUCGGGGUUCCGUGUGCACCUGUGACAUUCUGUAUAAAUUUGGAGGCCACAGGUGACAAUUGCUACAUCUAUUGUGUUCUGUCACCGUUUUUACCUUCGUCAGUCUCAUGCAACAAAUGAUAGACGAUCCAAUAGAAGUUGGCGCUGAAGCUAGCAGCAGACUCUGUAGAUGUCAAAACAACUUGUACUUUUGUGAACUGCAGGGGGUGGUUAUAAAAAGUAGGUAUUUUCUAUGAGGAUAAGAUGCACAGAUGUACACCCUCUUGGUGUGAUGUGGGGAUUUUAGUUUAGAAGAGCCUGAGACCUUGUUACUAAAUAGCAGUUCACAGAUGGGCACACCAUUUUAUCAAUUAUGCAGGGUUGAGGGUUUAUCAUGAAUAUUUUGGCUGGUACAGCUCUCAAACACCCAGCAGAGUUGAUUUAGGCCCAGUUACUCUUAAAUUAUUGAACGUGAAAGCAUUUGAAAAUCACCCUAUCCAUGAAGUAGUACCAAGCGUGUUUACUGAAAUAGGAGUGCAUGUGAUUUCUUGUGUUCUUAUCUGCAGCAGAAGUGGUAAUGGUGUGAUUUUCCUCUAUGUCUUGACAGAAUAUUAGUACUCUACACUAUUUGUUAUGCAGUUAUUCUUAUUUUUUCAUGGCGAAUGGGCAAAUGAAGUCUGAAUCUAACAUAUAUACAGACAAUCGCUACUGUCUGCAUGUUCUUGGCUAGAAGAGUCGAAGAAACACCUAGGCCUUUGAAGGAUGUCAUCCUGGUUUCUUACGAGCUUAUUUAAAAAGGAUCCUGCUGCUGGUCAGAAAAUCAAGCAGAGGGUAAUGUAAUGGAUCCAAUUUGAUGCUUCUUUUGCUAUGGAUUGUUCUUUGGUGAACCUUUUUCCCUUUAAAAAAGUUGUAGCAUGUCCAUGACCUGAUCUCACCCUAUAAAUCUUGUUGUUCUUAUACAAUAAUAGAAAAUAACUUCAGAAAUAUAGCCAGUAGAAGGCUGGCUAUUUCUAUCAGAAUCCUAACCUUUUCUCAUCAGUAUAUCAUUUAUUUUGGAAUUAUUUUGAUUGCAUCAUCUGCUUAAAAGUUUACAGAGACUGAUAAUGAUCUAGAAUAAAACUAUAUUCUAACCUACGAGGAGGCUCGACACGUCUUCUAACCCGCAAUAGACUGUAUAGGCAGCGGGAGCGCCGGUCCCACUGCCGGUCCAGACCAUGGGCACAGCAUGGUCGAGCUACAACGAGUGCAUCUAAUUCCAACUCAUCAAAGUGAGCUCCCUCUUUUAUUCUUCUGAGGCAAUGAGGCAUCAGUGUAGGCCCAAUCUUUUUGUUUGUUGCUUUGAAGAGUGUUGUCAUGUUGUGGAAAGGCGACAUGUGCUUGAUAGUUGGAGUUGGUGUUGAGCCUGGCGGUAGUAGACAGGGAAGGCACCCAUCUCACUUGAUCUUGAGAGUUGAUUCAUAUCUUUUUUUCUUGACCUGAUUGAGUUCCUGUAUAUGCAAGGAUAAAGAAGAAGGGGCAUUGUUGUGGUUGUUGCUUAAGGUGUUGGUCAGGAGCUGAUUGCCGGGGCUGAUGACAAGAACGGAGAGCAGGAUGAGUAUGUCAACAUGAUGUUCCUUGACGUUGGCCUUCUUUUAUAAAGUUCACAUGCAACUCUCAUCCAUGGUUAGAAAAAGCUAAUUUAAACGUUUUGUUUCUUUGAUGGUUACUCAUUUCUCUUACCGUUGUUGUAUCAAAACAAUUGUAUUUUCGUUGAUGGCCACUUGGGAUCAUUUUCGAGGAGAAUGAGAUGUGGAAUAAACUACUAAUGAGAUGUGGAAUAAACUACUCUGAAAUGGUUGGUUCCCUUCA